GUAGGUGCAAGCGUUGUCCGGAAUUAUUGGGCGUAAAGCGCGCGCAGGCGGUUCUUUAAGCCUGAUGUGAAAGCCCACGGCUCAACCGUGGAGGGUCAUUGGAAACUGGAGAACUUGAGUACAGAAGAGGAAAGCGGAAUUCCACGUGUAGCGGUGAAAUGCGUAGAGAUGUGGAGGAACACCAGUGGCGAAGGCGGCUUUCUGGUCUGUAACUGACGCUGAGGCGCGAAAGCGCGGGGAGCAAACAGGGAUUAGAUACCCUGGUAGUCCACGCCGUAAACGAUGAGUGCUAAGUGUUAGGGGGUUUCCGCCCCCUUAGUGCUGCAGCUAACGCAUUAAGCACUCCGCCUGGGGAUAAGGCCGCAAGGCUG
rnacentral:rRNA from 1 species